GACGAACGCUGGCGGCGUGCUUAACACAUGCAAGUCGAGCGGUAAGGCCUCACUUGUGGGGUACACGAGCGGCGAACGGGUGAGUAACACGUGAGUAAUCUGCCUUUGGCUUUGGGAUAAGCACCGGAAACGGUGUCUAAUACCGGAUAUGACAUGGUCUCGCAUGGGGUUGUGUGGAAAGUUUUUUCGGCCAUAGAUGUGCUCGCGGCCUAUCAGCUUGAUGGUGGGGUAAUGGCCUACCAUGGCUUCGACGGGUAGCCGGCCUGAGAGGGAGACCGGUCACACUGGGACUGAGACACGGCCCAGACUCCUACGGGAGGCAGCAGUGGGGAAUAUUGGACAAUGGGCGCAAGCCUGAUCCAGCAACGCCGCGUGAGGGAUGACGGCCUUCGGGUUGUAAACCUCUUUUAGUAGGGAAGAAGCGAAAGUGACGGUACCUGCAGAAAAAGCACCGGCUAACUACGUGCCAGCCGCCG
rnacentral:rRNA from 1 species